rnacentral:tRNA from 1 species
GGCCUCGUAGCUCAGCUGGUAGAGCGUGUGCUGUACAAAAGCGUAGGCGGUGGCUAUACGUGGGUUCGAAUCCUACCGAGGCUA